rnacentral:rRNA from 1 species
CAGUAGCCGCGGUAAAACGGAGGGUGCAAGCGUUAAUCGGAAUUACUGGGCGUAAAGCGUGCGUGGGCGGUUCGUUAAGUCUGUUGUGAAAGCCCCGGGCUCAACCUGGGAAUGGCAAUGGAUACUGGCGAGCUAGAGUGUGUCAGAGGAUGGUGGAAUUCCCGGUGUAGCGGUGAAAUGCGUAGAGAUCGGGAGGAACAUCAGUGGCGAAGGCGGCCAUCUGGGACAACACUGACGCUGAGGCACGAAAGCGUGGGGAGCAAACAGGAUUAGAUACCCCCGUAGUCCCUGUCUCUUAUAC